rnacentral:lncRNA from 12 species
GGACCCUGAUGUUGGGGCCCUGAUGCCGGGGACCCUGAUGUUGGGGCCCUGAUGCCGGGGAGCCUGAUGCCGGGGAGCCUGAUGCCGGGGCCCUGAUGCCGGGGACCCUGAUGCCGGGGACCCUGAUGCCGGGGGCCCUGAUGCUGGGGAGCCCCCGCCGGAGCCCCCAGGCCCCACCACAGCAGCGAGUCUGAAUCAUUUCCCGGAGUUUACUGAGCCUGGUGGAGCACUGACACGUGUCGGGCCCCCCGAUGGCCGCCUGGCUUCACCCUGGCUCCUGUGGGCACAAGACAGCAGCCAGCACCCUCCUGUGAGCAGGCACAGCCCAUCUCAGGGCGGACGGUGGGGCCGGGUGGCCCGCGGGCUCCACAGGGGCCGUCCCUGGGCUUCAGGAGCACCUGGGCCCAAGCAGGGCAGGGAGUGUGUGGGCUGCGCCAUCUGCGAAGCUGAGCCUGCCAGGCUUCGGCUCCCUCGGAGGCGACACUUGCCAGGAAGCCGCGUCCAGCCUCGCAGAGCCUCCUUCGUUGGGCCGCAAGCCCUGGAGGCCGAGCCUGGUGAGGCUGGAGACCCAGUGGGCCGGCUGCUGUGCAGGCUCUGGACUGGCCAGGAGCCCCUGGGCUCCAGCCCCGCACAGAUCCCGACCUCAUCCAGGCCUGGGGCGGGGGCACUCCCGGCUCAGCUGCUUCUCGUUGCAUCAGGAUGCCCGUGA